CCUUCGAUAGCUCAGCUGGUAGAGCGGAGGACUGUAGUACUUUCGAGUAUGGACAACCUUACGUUGCUGAUUCAAUUCCAGCUCGAAGGA
rfam:Ovis aries breed Texel chromosome 7, whole genome shotgun sequence.